UACGUAGGGUGCGAGCGUUUGUCCGGAAUUACUGGGCGUAAAGAGCUCGUAGGCGGUCUGUCGCGUCGGCUGUGAAAACCCGGGGCUCAACCCCGGGCCUGCAGUGGGUACGGGCAGACUAGAGUGCGGUAGGGGAGAUUGGAAUUCCUGGUGUAGCGGUGGAAUGCGCAGAUAUCAGGAGGAACACCGAUGGCGAAGGCAGAUCUCUGGGCCGUAACUGACGCUGAGGAGCGAAAGCAUGGGGAGCGAACAGG
rnacentral:rRNA from 1 species